UAUGACCACAUCACAUUGAAACACUGGUUCUCAUACGAUCACGGAAGUUGAGCAACAUUGAAUCUGGUCAGUACCUAGAUGGUUAAUCUCUUGGGAAUACCAGGUGCAGUAAG